AGUGAACGCUGGCGGUAGGCCUAACACAUGCAAGUCGAACGGCAGCACAGUAAGAGCUUGCUCUUACGGGUGGCGAGUGGCGGACGGGUGAGGAAUACAUCGGAAUCUACUUUUUCGUGGGGGAUAACGUAGGGAAACUUACGCUAAUACCGCAUACGACCUACGGGUGAAAGCAGGGGAUCUUCGGACCUUGCGCGAUUGAAUGAGCCGAUGUCGGAUUAGCUAGUUGGCGGGGUAAAGGCCCACCAAGGCGACGAUCCGUAGCUGGUCUGAGAGGAUGAUCAGCCACACUGCAACUGAGACACGGUCCAGACUCCUACGGGAGGCAGCAGUGGGGAAUAUUGGACAAUGGGCGCAAGCCUGAUCCAGCCAUACCGCGUGGGUGAAGAAGGCCUUCGGGUUGUAAAGCCCUUUUGUUGGGAAAGAAAAGCAGCAGGUUAAUACCCCGCUGUUCUGACGGUACCCAAAGAAUAAGCACCGGCUAACUUCGU
rnacentral:rRNA from 1 species